rnacentral:lncRNA from 1 species
GCACUCCAAUGAUACAUACAAAUGCUCACGCCUUUCAUUGUGCACUUAGGGACAAAGACAUUCUGAAUUGCACGUGUGGGAUUUGUUAAAGAAAUAAAUCUAAUAUUUUUCUAAAUGUAUUUACAUAACUAUUUCUUUAUGGAAAUCCUUUAAUCCCUCCCUACAUUAGAAGACACAGGUUUCAAAAAACCUCAGGAAAAAAAAAUGUGCAAAUGUAGAGCUGUGUAAAGGCAGAUCUUAGGAUAAGAAAGACUUUCAAAUAACUGUGUGAAUUGCAGUCUGUGUUUGCAGACCAAGCCACAAACAAAAAUAUGAGGAAACAAUGGUCAAGAAUCUAUUGAUACUGUUUCUGGGGCUGGUCUGCAGCUUCCUUUGAAGCAAUGGUGGGGCUUAAUGUGAGUGGAUUUAAUAUUUCAGCCUCUCUUAUCUUGCUGUGGUAGCACUGAACUGCAGAAGUUAGAACAAUGAAACCAUACUGAUUAAAUCCCAACCUAUCGGCAUUCUAGAAGACACAAAAAAGAAGUGCAGUGAAAAGACCAUAUAUUAGCAAAUUUUAAAAAUGCUGACAGAAAGCAAAAUAAAAAAAUACCUUUUUCCCCUCAUAACUCUGCAUUAUAGGGACAGAACAAAAACUUGCACUCUGUGCAACCUCAAUACCAAGUUAUUUCCUAUACAUGCACAGGAAAAUUUUCAAAGAUAACCUAAAGUAUGUUUAUUCCUGUGAAAAAAAGCACGUGAAACACAAGGAUGAAACACAAGAGCAAAAAUCACAUUAUCUCAUCCCCAAAAAUGAACCUAAUACAGGAAGCUUGGCUUCAACCCCAUGGCAGCAAACUUGUACGCUACCAGAGCAUUCAGCUGAAGUCUAUCAUGAGGUCUGCAAAAGAUAUAUCUGAGCAAGAGCCCAGGAUCCAAUAUAUGGAUUUUUCAACAAGAACAAGACUGAAAUACUGAUGGGACUGGCUGAAACUGAUUUUAGACAACUGGACAAAGCUGUUUGGCAUGUGUCUUGGGUAAGAACUCAGAAUAUAUAUUGAGGAUUGCAUUUCCUCUUCCAGUGAAGG